ensembl:lncRNA novel transcript, antisense to SLC38A11 and SCN3A
GGAACUGUCAUGCGGGCUGACAGCUGGCACACCCUCCUGUCGCCCUCCACCCGCCUGCAGAAAGCCCACUCCCUACAGUCACCUUGACAUUGCUCACCUGCCUGGGCCUCAGCCCAUGACCAAGGAAACUUUUGCCCUCCCUCCCCAGGAGCUCACUUACAGGCCAUCUUCAAAGGUACUGCCUACCUGAACCUGCCUUGUCCCAAAGGACACACUUCAAUCUGGGGAGAGUUUAAAGUUGUAGACAUAUCCAUUUUCAUUUAAGGAAUAUGAAGAUCAGGGAGGCAAAAUAUAGAGAUAUAGAGAGGAAAAACUGAGAGAUGAUCAGAAAUUCAGACGCAUUCGGAAUGAGCACCCUUGACCAUACCAAGAACAAAGACUCUAUAAAAAUGUGAAGUCUUAUUAUUGUUCAUCCAUGUUCUACGUGGGAUCCACCCAAGACAUUGAAAACUGUACAGAACAGGGUGAAAUUGAAUCAGAUCAUUCUGUACUCCUAACAAGGUCCACCCCAUGAGAGACUUGCAGCAGAAUUAAUGACACUGUAUAUUUUCCUCUACUAACAACAACAAGAACAACAACAACAACAAUCUAGGAAAAUCAAAGGCAGCCCGACAUGGAAAAAAACACAAAAUGAAUAUUUGGAUUACAAAUAGUGUGAUGGGAAGAACACACUGCCAAAAGUCCACCUAGUAUGUUGAAAUUACUGUUUCUAGCACAUAUAAGAUUUGCUGCCAAUUUGUACUGACUUCUGAAAAAUACUUUAUCCAUUGUCUUCUUACAUCAGAAUCAACUCCCUAAAUUCUUCAGCACUGGCUUUGUAAACUGGUUUCUGGUCUUUGUUUCUGUCAACUUACCUAUAAAAGGAUACAAAAACUGAAGAACAGAGAGGAGCAGAUACCCUGGAAAGCCGAAAGUUUUAUUGACCAAAGACUGAGUCUCGGAAUGUUUUGAUUGUGGAGUUUAUAGAGUUCAGGCUGAAGUUUUAUAAAAAUAACUUGCAGCAGCAUGGAGGACUGAUGAGAAAGUAGACAGAUGCUGGAAGCAGGAAAACUGAACAGCAGGUCACUGGCCAAGGAGAAUCAAAGAGCUAGAUGCUGAGAAUAAUGCAGCCAUAACGUGAAAUCUUUUUGAGACCACUCACUCUGGGAGAAAGCAACUGGCUAUGUCAUGAGGAAAUUGAAACCACCUAUGGAGAAAGGCCCACAUGGUGAGAAAGUAAAGCCUCUUCCCAAUACCAAAAUUCUGUAAGUCUGCUACGGUGACAUUUCUGGUUAGGAGUCAGAGUGGAUGGGACACUGAGCAAUAAGGAUACAAGAUGUCAACAUAAAUCGAAGAUGUCACCACAGAUUUUCUAGACAAAGUAGCUGUGCUUUGAAUUUAAUAAGACUACACAAUAAAGGAAGAAAUAUUAUUUAUACUCAUCCAGACAAAAUAUUA